rnacentral:lncRNA from 1 species
AGAUGGUGAAAGACCACCACAAAGAGACCCUCGCUCACGCCUUAGUCUUAUUCGAAAACAAAAGCGGAUGGGCCUUCCUCAAGAAAAAAGCCAAUCUGAUUUCGGGGGGCAUGUAGGCGGAGAAAGGCUGGGAAACUAUAAGGUCUCGUAGGAAAAAGACAAAACGUAGGUAGGCUGCCACGCGGAGUGAAGGUAACUAGCCAAUUCCCCAAGGUCUAGUAAACUAAGGUGGUAGUGCAGACAAGGUUAAUUCACUCUGGGAUUGGUAGUCCCGUCUGCUCUGACGUCGGAAUAAUCAUUAUAAUACGAUGAUAGCACCUGAUUAGCAAGAAAUUCCCUGCUCUCCUCUUAGCAAUGAUCUGUCUAGGGCUACUUUCAAAACUGCGGAUUCUGUAAUAAGACCCUAUUCAUGGGCAUUCUCCGACUUAGAAUCGAAUUCAUACCCGGCAAUCUACGAUCUACCCAGCGCCUUAGUUUAUGUUGGUGACUGGCAGAGGGUGAAAGCCUAGAAGACGCCUAAAACUCAUAAGGAAUAGGCACUGUACCGGCAGCGAACUCUAAGGUUUGGCUUUUUCUUUUAUUGACUUUCUUGAGUCAAUGUCGCAUUUCGCGUGCUUGGUUAGAUCUCCUAACCUAAUGUAAUGAACGAGAAGGUGAAAAAUUCAGUCUUAGCUAAGCAUUCGAAUUCUGGGUAAGAGAGGAAAUCUUUCUUUCUAGGGAAUCUGUGCUUACUAAGCCUUUGUUUGAAGGACCGGUCUUAAAGUGAAGUGCAAGACUAGCUGGACCCGGACUGACUAAUCGCUAACAUCCCGGGUUCUCUCGGGACCGGGAGAACUCUCAGUUAAGUAC